rnacentral:tRNA from 1 species
GGAUGUGGCUCAGUGGUAAAGUACUUGCCCAGCAUGCAUGAGGCCCUGGGUUCAAUCCCCAGCACCA